GACGAACGCUGGCGGCGUGCCUAAUACAUGCAAGUUGAGCGCUGAAGGUUGGUACUUGUACCAACUGGAUGAGCAGCGAACGGGUGAGUAACGCGUGGGUAAUCUGCCUUUGAGCGGGGGACAACAUUUGGAAACGAAUGCUAAUACCGCAUAAAAACUUUAAACACAAGUUUUAAGUUUGAAAGAUGCAAUUGCAUCACUCAAAGAUGAUCCCGCGUUGUAUUAGCUAGUUGGUGAGGUAAAGGCUCACCAAGGCGAUGAUACAUAGCCGACCUGAGAGGGUGACCGGACAAAUUGGGACUGAGACACGGCCCAAACUCCUAAGGGAGGCAGCAGUAGGGAAUCUUCGGCAAUGGACGAAAGUCUGACCGAGCAACGCCGCGUGAGUGAAGAAGGUUUUCGGAUCGUAAAACUCUGUUGGUAGAGAAGAACGUUGGUGAGAGUGGAAAGCUCAUCAAGUGACGGUAACUAACCAGAAAGGGACGGCUAACUACGUG
rnacentral:rRNA from 1 species